GACGAACGCUGGCGGCGUGCUUAACACAUGCAAGUCGAACGGAAAGGCCCUGCUUGCAGGGUACUCGAGUGGCGAACGGGUGAGUAACACGUGGGUGAUCUGCCCUGCACUUCGGGAUAAGCCUGGGAAACUGGGUCUAAUACCGGAUAGGAGCCAUUUUUAGUGUGAUGGUUGGAAAGUUUUUUCGGUGUAGGAUGAGCUCGCGGCCUAUCAGCUUGUUGGUGGGGUAAUGGCCUACCAAGGCGGCGACGGGUAGCCGGCCUGAGAGUGUGGAAGGCCACAGUGGGACUGAGAGACGGCCCAGACGCCGACGGGAGGCAGCAGGGGGGAAUAUUGAACAAUAGGCGCAAGCCGGAUGAAGAGACGCCGCGUGGGGGAUGACGGCCUUCGGGUUGUAAACUCCUUUCGCUAGGGACGAAGCUUUUUGUGACGGUACCUAGAGAAGAAGCACCGGCUAACUACGUG
rnacentral:rRNA from 1 species